AUUGAACGCUGGCGGCAUGCCUUACACAUGCAAGUCGAACGGCAGCACGGGGCAACCUGGUGGCGAGUGGCGAACGGGUGAGUAAUGCAUCGGAACGUGCCAUUGAGUGGGGGAUAACGUAGAGAAAGUUGCGCUAAUACCGCAUAUUCUGUGAGCAGGAAAGCAGGGGACCGCAAGGCCUUGCGCUCUUUGAGCGGCCGAUGUCAGAUUAGCUAGUUGGUGAGGUAACGGCUUACCAAGGCGACGAUCUGUAGCGGGUCUGAGAGGAUGAUCCGCCACACUGGAACUGAGACACGGUCCAGACUCCUACGGGAGGCAGCAGUGGGGAAUUUUGGACAAUGGGCGCAAGCCUGAUCCAGCCAUGCCGCGUGAGUGAAGAAGGCC
rnacentral:rRNA from 1 species